UACGUAGGGGGCCAGCGUUGUCCGGAAUCAUUGGGCGUAAAGCGCACGUAGGCGGCUCGUUAAGUCGGAUGUGAAAGCCCUCGGCUCAACCGAGGAAGUGCAUACGAAACUGGCGAGCUUGAAUAUGGAAGAGGGUCGCGGAAUUCCCGGUGUAGAGGUGAAAUUCGUAGAUAUCGGGAGGAACACCAGUGGCGAAGGCGGCGACCUGGGCCAAUAUUGACGCUGAGGUGCGAAAGCGUGGGGAGCAAACAGG
rnacentral:rRNA from 1 species